rnacentral:sRNA from 1 species
AUGUAUUUUUCCAGUUCUGGUUCAGUGUGGUGAAUUUUAUAAAAAUGAAAACAUAGAUAUAACUAGGGCUUAUUAAUCAUUUAAACUAACAUAAAAUAUCAACAUAAUUUUAGUUAAAGAGAAAUAGGACUUAAAAAGUGCUCACUCAAAGGAGGAAACAAUGAUUCAUGGAUGAAUCCUCUUGCCAAACAGUUUUCAAAUAUGGGAUUGCUGAGUCAGACUGAAGAUAAUCCAAGCAGCAAAAUGGAUUUGUCUGUAGGAAGCCUUUCAGAUAAAAAAUUUGAUGUGGACAAGCGAGCGAUGAAUCUCGGGGAUUUUAAUGAUAUCAUGAGGAAGGAUCGAUCUGGGUUCCGUCCACCUAAUUCCAAAGACAUGGGAACCACAGAUAGUGGGCCUUAUUUUGAGAAGGGCGGUAGUCAUGGUUUGUUUGGAAACAGCACAGCACAAUCGAGAGGUCUGCACACACCAGUGCAGCCACUAAAUUCUUCUCCCAGUCUCCGGGCGCAAGUGCCUCCCCAGUUUAUUUCCCCCCAGGUUUCUGCCUCAAUGCUCAAGCAGUUUCCCAACAGUGGCCUGAG